rnacentral:lncRNA from 1 species
CCUUUCAAACAGGCAUAUCUAAACUGACCUUUCAAACAAGGCGUAUCUAAUCAGUAUAGUAUCAUGGGAGAGUAGAGUGGUAGGGUCGGAACUGAGAGAAAGCUAUAUUUUGCAAUUGAUCGUUACCAAUAGCAACUUGAACUAAGUCCUCUGGUGAAUGAUCGAUGUGUGCCAGAUUGAAACCACCUUCUUUAUCAUUGGAAGAAGACCGCUUCGUAAAGCUAGGGCUGGAUACCUGAAUUGGAUCUUGAAUGCCCCGGUUAGGGCGCCUUGUGCGUGUGCUCUUAAUCGUUGGGCCUAGCUUAGCUCCAUUACUCAUUCUAGCUCUAGCCUCAUUGGGGAACAGGUCUGGCAAAAGGAGAAAGAACUAAGGCACACCCCAAACCGAAAUGCUCCUUACUUAUCUUAUAUUAUAGUUAUAGUAUGAUGUACGAUCAUAAGUUCCCAGAUUUCUCAUAAUAGGAAAGGAAGGGCUUUGGACUAUUAUGGUUUGAGAUUGAACUUCUCAUUCAAUGGGGAUCCAACUAAACCCCCAGGAAGGGAAGUGCCAAAGAAGAGGACUUCACCUAUCCUCCACCAAAGGCUAUAGGAGAAGGUACCUACCUUUUACUGAGGAUCCAAUUUCUUCUCGCUAACGCCCUUGUUGCCAUGCCCUCUAUCUCUCUCUUUGCUUUGGAUCGAGAAGGGUUGGCUCUGCCUCAGAUCUAUUCAGCUUCGACCAGACGACUACCGCUAAGUGAUGAAGUUUGUUUAGUGCGGAAUCUGGCAUACAGUUACCAAUCAAGUAGAAGUCAAUAGGCUCACUCAUAAAGCCCCCCGCUAGUAAGACAAGAAAACGCUUCGCUUGGUUGUCAUGUCAGGGCACUCUGGUAGGACGUGGCGUGGAGAAUUACCUGCAUUACGAGAAUGGGCUUCUCUUUUAAUGUAAUAGAAGAGUCACGGUCAAGUGAGCCCGGCUUUCUCCCUAAUCGACCUUACUCAGGGGAGUUGCAUUCAGUUAGGUAUAGGCUUUUUGACCUUGUGUUCUAUACUGGUAAGAGGCUAAUACUGGCAAAGAGUUAAGCAUUAACGUGUUUUGGGGUAUUAAUAGAAAAGAAGGCGCCCAACAAGGAGUAUGGACUUGGAUGCUUGCUGGGGAGAUCUAGAGAGAGUUCUAUAUCAACAUAGAAAUCCAAAGUAGUUCUCAGUUCUAUAUCAAAUAGAAGUUAUAAGUUCAAUAUCCAAUUAUUAUAAGUGUAAAUAUCAAAUUAAGGAAGAGUACGCACGGCUGACGCUGUUAGUUGAUCGAAUCAGAUACAGAUAGCUCUGGCUACCCCAAUUCUGAUCCACAUGAGGUAUGGCUCUGAGCGGAGUGGCUGAAGGCAUAGGUUUGCGAAAUCGACAUCAAAUAAGAUUGUAUAAUGGAUCCCUACGGAGGCGGGCGAAAUAACAUGAAAGAACAAACCUAUUCUUGGUAGAGUUCCCUGAGGACGUACAUAAGAGCACUAACCACUUUUGAGUGAAACUAGAAGCUUGUGCGCUUUAUUUGAUUGACCGGCCUGCCCAUCUUAUUUAUAGUAGCAUACCCCUAAGUAUCAUUUGUAUAGGAACGAAAGCAACACUUUGACUUUUGAAAGUAAUGGGCUACGCUUAUCCCUGACUAGUCAAGUAGUGGUAAGGUAGGUGCUGGUGCUGUGCUCUUCGAUGAAGAAAAUCUACAAUAUAUUAUAUACAAAUACAAAUAUACAAAUACUACAGAAAAUAUACAUACAUAUUAAUAGGUGAUUCAAUAGGUGAUUAAGGUAUCUAAACCAGAGCAGAGCAAAGUAUUCUCCGUUUUCUUGUGUCAGUGGUUAGAAAUCGAAAUUAGUGAACACGUCGCCUACUUUCUUUAAAAGGAAGCAAUUCUUCUUACCUAUAACCAAUAAGCCUUAUUACCUCUGUUUGUAAAAAUGGGGUUAUGGUUAUAGAAACCAUAGACUUAUCCAUUUGUAGAUGAACCUCCUUGUCGUAUUUAUUACCUCCUUGUCGUAUUUAUUACCUCGCCCGAAAAUCAUUGAAAAAUAUAGGCAUCCGGAAUACCGCUUAUCGACUGAAUCGCAUAUGGGCAAAUCGACGAGGAAUCACAGUAAAGCGCCCUAGUACCAUCACUCCCUUGCCGGAACAUUAGAAGACCAGUAAGACGUGGGUCCGCUCCUAAUCUUGAAUGGCCUCAUCAAUGACUGAAACACAGUAAUGAGUCACCUACUCUUUAUUUAGACAAGAAAGACGGCGGACAUUGAUGGCUCUAAGUCGGAUGGCCCCACUGGAGAGUGAGCGAAACGAAAAAGCAGUGCACACGCAAAAAACAUCAUUAUGGGCUUGCUUUACCUACCCUUUACUCAUCAUUCCGUUUUGGAAUCUACAAAGAUGAUGAAAUGAUUGGAUUAUUUCCGUCUUCUUGCUUGCUCUGUCUGAUACUAUGUAUGUGAAACCAGAAGAUAGUAGUUCCCCUGCGACGACAGGAAUCUCGUCCCUUCUACUCUUUGUUUAUGGUCCCCCAAAAGCAAAAGGAAAGAUUCUUCAUGAAAAUAGAAACCACCUAUGAGACGAUCCCUAGUCUAUUUCAUACAUUAUGCCUAGGUCAAAGGUAUGCCUGCUUUCUUUCUACCUAUGGGUCAAAGGUAUGCCUGCUUUCUACUUUCCACCUAGUUAAAUUCGAAGAGAGUCUAUCCACCCUAAGAUCAGAAAAGAGCCUAUUUCUCUUUUGUUUGAUUUAUGAGAAUCAGAGACAGGGUUCGAAUUCCUGUUGAGAAUGAAAUCAUGAAACUAAAUGAGAAACCUCUGAAAAAGACUUGUUUGUAUGGAGCUUGCAUACUCCCUGCGCGCGAUCGUAUACUUGAACCCUCGCUUUUGUUGGUGGUUCAGCGAUAGAUGGUAGUUUGCCUUAAUGAUGGAUAGCCUUGCCAAGGAUUCGAUUUCUUUAUCUUUUCAAAUAGAGAAGAGAUCGCAUUACGAUAGGACUGACUGCUGGCUUAGUAGUUCUUUCCCCGGGUACCAUGACAGUGCGAGCACCUUUUCCGAAAACCCAUUUAAGGAAGGGCAGGAUAGAGCAGUUUUCGGACUCAAAGUGUAUAUGGAUAGAACCUUGUCCAGAUUUCCUACUUUACAUCUCUGCAAAGAGAAAUCAAUUCAAUAAAAACAUGACCCAUAGCUACGAAAUGAAUCCAAUUAGGUCCCUUAAGAGAGAACUCAAUCUCAUGCAUCGAUGUAUUCCUUCUAGAACUAUAGUCGCCUGUCUUUUGAGUUCAGGGAGAUGGGCAUGUCUUCUUCGAAAAGGAGGUCGUGGUCAACGAUCAAAAGUGGCUUUGACUACACGAAUGGGAUAAGCAAGAAGAAUGGAAUGCUGUAAUACUGUCUUCUUUGGUUCUAAGAAAGAUAUUCAAAGACUCUCUACCCUACCGCCUGCCGACGAUGGACCUCAAUCACCAUCAUAGUAGGGCAAAGCUUGUAAACAAACACAGAUUUAGACCUUUCCUUUAGUGGAGAACCUAUUGAUGGAGACAUCGCAACAAUCAUCUUACAUUCAAUCUCAGAGAUGAUAGUGCGGACUUAUGAUGGGCAAAAGACUAAGAUCUAGAAAUAAUGAUAGGGCCGGGCCGCACCCUCUCGCCUUUUAGUUACUUUUACCGAAAUACGAGACUGACUCCUAAAUUCAGUCGUUCCUCACUAAAUAUAAGAUUUUGGAAAGAGUCAAACAGUCCCGUCCCUUUGGACUCGAAUUAGUUGUAUAUCAAAUGAGAUUGUAUAGACCCGCCAGCAAUCCAAAUUCUAUCUCAAUAUUAGCGCAAUGGUUCUUAUCCAUGGUUUGGCCAGAGCCCCACCUUUGUCUUUCUUGUUUGGGUGAGGAAAAAGCGGAUACAUAAGCAUCAGGCGAUAGUCAAAAGAGAAGGUUGUCUUUCACAGGACAUUCCAUUCAGUUAUCUAUAGCGGUGCCUAGCUUAUUUGUUGGAUAAUGCUUCUUCCUGCUUGAAAGCCCUUCAUGACUAGGUAGAGGGGAUUAAUCUAAAUAGAAACAAAUAUCAAUCUGGGAACGAUAGGAUCAAUCAAUGCAAUUGAAUUGAGGCGAGUGAAGCUAUAGGAAGGCAGUAGCAGACCAGACCCGAUUGGGAGGGAGUCUUUGCGUACGAUAGGUGGUAUAGGGUUUUUGGAAUGGAGUUCAAACGGAAAUGGCUCGAUUGAUUUGCUUACAGGAAAAAGACUAGUUUCAGAAAUCCAAUAAUUGGAACAAAUUGAGUGACAACGCAACGGACACCUUUCUUUCUCACUCAAAAGCUCAUCGUUUACCAACGAGUAUUGAGAGUAUAUACUCUUACAAAGACAGACCUGUGAUCCACUUUCGAUCUAAAGCACCCGAAUUCUACUCGCUUAUUUUAUUACUUUGAUAUGCGUUCAAUAUUCGAUUUUAUGGAAUGGAAUUAAGCUUCACUGCUCCUAUCCAUGCUUUCGAAUUCCUUUAUUACCGACCCAUCCUGGCUAUUUCUCCUAUUUGAGAUAUAACCCAUCCUGGCUAUUUCUCCUAUUUUAGAUAUAAUUAGAAUAAUGUCUUUGUUAACUUAUUAGUAUAGUCCACUCUUACCUUAGAUCAAAGAAAGUCAGACUGAGUAUUUUUCUAUACGAGACGUCGAUAAAUCCUUUGUAUAUGAAAUUAUUGUGAAUGGAAAGCGCAUACAUCGAGUAAAGAAAGACGGAAGAAUGGGGGAAAAUAGAGUACCACUACUGACUAAAGGAUUAUGAAACUCAAGAAAAAGAACCCUAAAAACAAGGGGGAACUGUCAUAAUUCAUACAAGUAACUAGCUAACGCCUGAGAUAGAGACCCCGUCUGUGACUCGUGAGAUAGACCACCCCGUCUGUGACUCGACUUCUUUUAGUAGUGUGCUCCAACUUACCCUUAUACUUCGCUCGGUUCGGUGCUUAGAAAACUCCAAUAACAUACCAAUAACAUCAAGGGUAAGCGUUAGCUUACCUUUUCUCUUCUCUUAGGGAGCGCUAGGGCAAUAAGCUAUGUUGUUUAGGUCACUUUCAUAUAUUAAUAAUGAGUGAAGUUAGUAAUUGUCGUUAAGAUUCAUUUCUUUCAAGUUGAGUGCACCUUUUGCCUAUAUGAGUGAUUAAAGGAAAAAUACAGGAGUUAUGAAAAUCAAGAGAAGAGUAUAGUAUGCUCCGCUCCGUUUUAGAAGCAGAAUAAGCGUGAUCGCGGACAGGAGAAGGGGUUAACUGACUCUGUGACUAUAACCUUAUUGAAUGGAAUCGAAACUUGUCGAGCUUCACUUGCUACCGAGAUACCAGCUAUAUACUUGCUACCGAGAUACCAGCUAUAGCUAUAUAGUCGUGGAAUUCAGAAGUUUGGAGGACGAGUAGGGUCGGUCAAAUAGGAAUUCAAUAUCAAUCAGUCAACCUGCAAUUAAGGGCAUAUCAUGAAUUCCAGAAUAUAUAUGGCAUAUCAUGGAAUAUAGUAACAAAACACUAUAAACUCACUUACUCUGUAGUUUCCAAUCCUUUUUUUCCCUGACAUAACACAUAUGUUCUAAUUGCAUAACUGGACUGUUUACUCCAACCAAUAAGCGUUAGAGCACCCCAAGAUAGAGAAUGAUAGAUUAGUUAGCGAGCGGCGAACUCACAUUGCGCUUACGGAGCACUUGUUCAUUCUAUUGUUUGUUCUUUUCUUCUGAGACUUAUGUCAGUUAUUAGAGUUUGGGCCAGUAUGUAAAGUUCACCUUUCAUUUCAUCUAUCUAGCCAUAUGAUCUUGAAUAGCUAAUCCAUCUUGUGCAUCAUCUCUAGCCUAUAAGGGAGUAAGAUGACCUCUUUAUAUACUCAAUGAGAAGCAUUCGCCAACCACUAAUUAGCUCCUAGCGCACACAACAAAAAGAAUGAACUAACGACCACAUGAUACGAAAACGUCACUCAUGUUUGUAACUAAUGCAGAUUCUAUCGUCGCAAAGACAGAUCAGAUGAAACUCCACCUUUCCCGCUUGCUGCUUCUGAUCUUGAUUCUGAUCCUGUAGUAGUUAAGGAUACGGCUGCCAAUAACAUAUUAUUCCCUUAAUAAAGCAGCAGGGGGCAGAAGCUUCUUUUUCUUCGUAGGGGUUUACAGACACAGCCGAUUCCCUAAUUGCCCCAUGCUAUACUCAAUGAGACUCUAUUCUUUCUACUGUUCCUUUUCCUUUAUACCUAACAGCCAGCUUAUUAGAUACAGACAGCACUGCCAGCUUAUUAUCGGCUUCAACUGAAAGUCAUUAUUAAGCUUCUUCCCAUUUCUGUAGGAUCAAAGUCGACAACACAAGAUUCAAGUCGCUAACUCUUUUCGGCAGUUUAGAAUUCCAUGAAACAAUUCCAUUCUUUAUCGGGGAAAUAACCAACAAUGAAAUUAUGUAUUUGGAGGCACCGGAUAUAGGCAUGAGUAAAGACACUGAACGCACAGGGACAAGCACUUCUGGACCAAUACUGGAAUCUGGAACUACACUUUCCACUGCUUCUUCAAAUGGUGUUGGAGUGGAGUAUAUCAAUUAGUAAUAUGAAAAGGAUCUAUACCCAGGCUCGCUAACAGAGCUGUUUCUUCUCAAGUCGACAACACUAAUUGACUUUGCGCUUACAGCUUCCUUUAGUACUGCUUAUUCUCCCCCACUCUUGCUUCUGCCUUUGUCCUAACCCUAUUUGGAUAGUGAAAUAAGGGUUCUUUGAUAGUGAAAGUAAGCGUUCAGCUGCCUCUGCUCUAUAUGAGUAGGUGUGUGACCUCUGUUCUAUAUGAGUAUAGUGUAUCAAACUCGUCAACUUCAUAGCUUACACUGCUUAAAGAAAUGAAUCUGUAACUUAGAAGGGGAACUCACACAUCAAUCUCUGACUCUCGGAUCCAGCUGGGUUAGUCCGAUAAUUUGUGUCGAACCUUGCUUGGGCUGGCUUGGCUCUAAGAAGAAGAUAUAGUAGAUGAAAGAGGCUCCACGCUAUAACAGUGAAAAGAUUUAGCAGGUUAAGAACUUCAAGUUUAGAAUAGGUCGGCUCAAAGGCAAGUAAGGGAUCCACCAACCAAGGUAAGAAGCAUAAGCUAGAUAAGAUUAUGUAUAAAGUGGAGUUUACUUUAGAUAAUGUCAGAAUUUCCGUUUAUAGCUUAGUCUAUAAUUCAGUGACAGGGAGUACAUUCCUUCCCUACCCGGAGACAUAGUCCGCAAGUGGUUUAAGUGCUUGUGUCUAAGGCUUCUUUAAGUAGAGUUCUAGACUAAAGUAGAGUAGAGUUCCAGUUCUCAAGUAGUCUACGAGAGAAUCAGCAAUUACUGGCUUUGAAGAAGAAGCUUUAUCAAAAUCAGAAGCAGUUUCAAGAGAAGUAGCAGAAUAUCUUACUGGCUACGCAGGGUGUUGGGCAUCAUAUCUUACUGACUUUUCAAGUUGAAGCUAGGUGUGGUCCACGUCGUCGAUUGAAGCACGGUGACACUGAAUACGAGUUAUUAAGUUCCAGAAGAGAGAGACGCCGCUCCACUCUUUUUGGUAGUGUUCCAUCCUUGUUAGCAGUGGUUUCCUUCUUUGUUUGACCUUAGACUCCUUUCUUCGAUUCUGACUUUGGAGCUUACGGACUGACGCUACACUCUUUUGGUUUGAUUCUUUGUUUCUACCUUGAUUCUUAUACCUAUGAGCUCGAUUCUACGCCUAUGGGAAAAGAAAGGCUAUCCGCCAGCACUCGCCCAUUAUGGGACUGUUGAGUUGGACUCCCUAUGGUUGGACUACCCUUUUGUAUUCCUAUUAGUCUCAUGCGCUAGUAGCUCGGACCCGACCCUUAUUCUUAUCCCCAUGGUCGAAAGACGGCAAUUGAAUAAGUAGAGGCGAGAAGUCAGCCUAAAAGCGAGGGCUGCUUUAGAUGCCUGAGAUUCCAUAAUAUAAGUUGGAAGGGAAAGUCAGUAAGUUACAGUUCCAAAGUUCUCCUGUUCCUGUUCGAGUUAUAGUGUUUUCUUAUAAGGAAUACAGUAACCAAGGAGAUAUAAAGGAAGUAGGUAACACCAAAGUGAGUUGAACCAAUUCCAAAUUCUAAAGAGAAUCACCAAAACUCGAGAAACCGAAUUCAUGCCUUGUUUUUUGUUUGUUGCUAUACACUUAACACUAAGCAACUCCACGCCAAAAAGGUCUCGAUCAAGGGCCUUCCGCCUUCUCGUGCCACAGCUCUAAUCCGAAUGGCUUCAACUAUGAACGCAAUUUCCAGUUCGAGCAAGAGCCGUUUGUUUUUCGAGAAAAUCCAGAAACUAGAAAACGGAUCGUCGUUAAGUCCGGCUUGCAGAACCGUCUUUCGGAUAACUAUAAGUGUGAGUCGGUUAGCUCCUUUUUCUGUUGCUGUAGUUGGUCGAUAAACACUCCUAUAUUUCGUAAUGAAAGACUUAAUUCAGUGAGCUUGGUACCGCCUGUUCAAGGGGUUGGAGGAGAUCAAACCCAAGAGAGGCCCGAGCACAACGUCUUCAUGAGUUAAGUGUUCCCACCUUGGGAGCUGAGAGUCAGGCCUGCAUUAGUGGAAUAUCCUUUACAGCCUUCCUUUAUCCGACCAGACAACUAUUCUAGUUCCACUUUUGAUACCGGGCAGAGCAGCUAAAGUGGCUUCAGCCUCUUUCUUUUGGCAGUUGCUUGCGAAGAAUUUGGGUAUUACUUAUCCUAGCUCAGAUAGAGCACUUGAGAGAGAAUUCGAAUAGUAGGGUUUGGAUCGUAAGCACAAUGGACUCGCUGCCUUAUCUGUCAUAUAGGAAUAUCGAUAGCGAGCAGUACCCAUCGGUUGCAGCUAUAAUCGUUUGCAGCUAGUACCCAUCGUUUGCAGCUAUAAGUAUAGAGCUCGUUCUUUUCUUACUUACCCGACGGUCGGAACUUUCAAAGGAUUCUCCCCAUCUAAAGAGCACUUCGUUCCUAAUAAAUGCAGACGGAAAGGUAGGACGGACCAGUGGAAGACUUAUGUCGAGAAGAACGUAGUGGCUUGUUGGCACAGAUGCCUUAAUUGAUCUUGUUGGCACAGAUGCCUUAAUGGAGAAUUGCAUCCAUCCAAUUAUGCACUUAAGAGAUUGACAGUCCUCCGCUCAGGCAAAGAAAAAACCGAAUCUUAUUAUACUUAUAUUGGAUCCAAAUUGAGAAUAGAACCUAAAGGUUGGUGGAUCAUGGUUCUACUAAGCGCCCUUCACCCCUGGUCCUUCUCAUAUGUCUUAUACUGGAAUGGCAUUUUUCUUAGGGUAAGUUCUUUGUCAAUAAAUUGGAUGCCCUAAGACGUAAUCAAGCCUUGCCUUUUCUUUUUGUUCUCGAUCUCUUCUCUUUAGAACUUAUAAAUAGCACGUAAGCAUGACAAAGGAUGGGAGCGGUGAUUGACCAGAAACAUUCUGUAAAAACAGAAAAGAGUAUCUUGCUGGAAUGGAUUUCAAAGAGCAAUCGUAAGGCCCACCAAUCUAACGCCGACAAGUGGUAAGACUAUCCCUCGUAAGACCGACAUUCCUCAUUCACUUCGAGGUGUGGCGCUAACUAGGCAUUCAACGAAAACGGAAUUAGUGCUUAACUGAAACUCCCCG